AUGCGAUACCUGGUGUGAAUUGCAGAAUCCCGUGAACCAUCGAGUCUUUGAACGCAAGUUGCGCCCGAGGCCAUCCGGCUAAGGGCACGCCUGCCUGGGCGUCACGCUUUCGACGUUCGUCGUUGCCCCCUCGGGGGGUGGGGGCGAACGUGGAGGAUGGCCCCCCGUGCCGGAAAGGUGCGGUUGGCCGAAGAGCGGGCCGUCGGUGGUUGUCGAACACGACGCGUGGUGGAUGCCUUGUGCGAGCCGUACGUCGUGCCUUCGGGACCCGGGCGAGGCCUCGAGGACCCAAGUCGUGGUGCGAGUCGAUGCCACGGACCGCGACCCCAGGUCAGGUGGGGCUACCCGCUGAGUUUAAGCAUAUCAAUAAGCGGAGGA
rnacentral:rRNA from 1 species